rnacentral:lncRNA from 1 species
CCCCUAACGACGGGCCGGCGGUUAGCAGCGCUCCGCCAGGCGGGCUGUUUUGAACGCGGUUUGGAAGGAACGAGGCUUUGGACCGAAGAGAAAGACGCAGAGGCAGCGGCUCAAACCGCUCCGCCCGGAUUUGCUGAGAAACUGUAAUUAUAGUUUUGCCACCACCAGGCGCAGGCACUGUCCCUCGUGUACCGGCAGUGCCGUUAAGACGUGCUCUUGUUUAGAUACCUCCAUUUAGCGUGGGCUUAAGCUGAGACGGGGGAGGUUUAGGUUGGAUAUUAGGUUGGAUAUUAGGAAGCAGUUUUUCACCCAGAGGGUGGUGAUGCACUGAACAGGUUGCCCAAGGAGGCUGUGGAUGCCCCAUCCCUGCAGGCAUUCAAGGCCAGGCUGGCUGUGGCUCUGGGCAGCCUGGGCUGCUGGUUGGCGACUCUGCACACAGCAGGGGGUUGGAACUGGAUGAGC